rnacentral:misc_RNA from 1 species
GAAAUGCGAUAACUAGUGUGAAUUGCAGAUUACGUGAAUCAUCAAGUCUUUGAAUGCACCUUGCGCCCUAUGGCAAUCCGUAGGGCAUGCCUGUUUGAACCUCAAAAAAACUUGAGAACUUUUGUCAGAGUUUUCGGGCUCGGGCAAAGGAGCUUGAUUUGGGCUAUCUGAUACGCUAACCUUGGUGUCUCAGUAGCCUUAAAUGCAUAGGCUCUCUCUUAGCUUGUAUCAAUGUGUGAAAAGACUGUCAAGUCGCUUCGUUCGCAGAGAUAACUAAGUUGAGAAUCGGGGCCUCUAAACUGUUCACUCUCGCUAGAGCUUCGGCUUUUUUUAGCUAGAGAAACAUUUUGUUCAUUUGAGUUCAAAUCAGGCAAGACUACCCGCUGAACUUAA